UGGGGAAUAUUGCACAAUGGGCGAAAGCCUGAUGCAGCGACGCCGCGUGAGGGAUGACGGCCUUCGGGUUGUAAACCUCUUUCAGUAGGGACGAAGCGCAAGUGACGGUACCUGCAGAAGAAGCACCGGCUAACUACGUGCCAGCAGCCGCGGUAAUACGUAGGGUGCGAGCGUUGUCCGGAAUUACUGGGCGUAAAGAGCUCGUAGGCGGUUUGUCACGUCGUCUGUGAAAUCCUAGGGCUUAACCCUGGACGUGCAGGCGAUACGGGCUGACUUGAGUACUACAGGGGAGACUGGAAUUUCUGGUGUAGCGGUGGAAUGCACAGAUAUCAGGAAGAACACCGAUGGCGAAGGCAGGUCUCUGGGUAGUAACUGACGCUGAGGAGCGAAAGCAUGGGUAGCGAACAAG
rnacentral:rRNA from 1 species